CUUUCUUUCUUUCUUUCUUUUUGUUUUUUUGAGACAGGGUUUCUCUGUGUAGUCCUGGCUGUCCUAGAACUCACUCUGUAGACCAGGCUGACCUCAAACUCAGAAAUCCGCCUGCCUGUGCCUCCUAAGUGCUGGGAUUAAAGGUAAGUUUUAAGUUUGUUAAGUUAGUUUUAUUAUUUGCCUUCCUUAUGCAUAAGGUGUUUUUGAGGGAACACUUAAGUACACAUUCCCCCAUUUCGCCUUAUGGUUACGAGUGAUAGGAAUGAACUGCAAUAAUAGAGGUGUAUUUUCAAGGAUUCUGUGAAACAUACAUGUCCCAGAAGAGAGUGAUACCACAAGAGAAGCCUGGGGUGGAAUCAUCUGAUUAACUUAUAAAAUAAGCUAGUUGGGAAAAAAAGUGGAAACUCAUUUGGGGCUACAGAAUAAAGCAUGUGAAAGAAAAGCCUGGGGGGUCUCAAGGGGAAGGCGGCGCUAUUUAUAAAUGACCUAUAAAUGUCAUGGUUCUGGGGCAAGACUUUUCAGCUCCAGGCCUCCCCCUUCUUAGUUCUCUAUAAUAUCAUCUCCAGUUUCCAGAGUGCCUUUCUCUUCUUUAAUAAAUUGUCUCAGUUGCUAUCAUGUCUAUGUGCUCCUGGUCCUCUUCUGUUUAGGAUAGGAGAGAGAGAGAGAGAGAGAGAGAGAGAGAGAGAGAGAGAGAGAGAGAGAGAGAGAGAAGAAACUGUUAGUAGAUGUCCUACAGACUCUGGUUCAUAUUGGUUCAUAUUCAACCAUAUUUCAUAUUGGUUGGUCAGACUUUUUUAAUAAGUCUUGACUACUAACCAAAUACUAUGGAAAGGGAAUACUUCCAAGUCAUGUACAACAAACUGAUAACUUACUUACAGCACAGAUAAUAACUAACUGUGGUGGUAUGAAAAAGAAUGGUCCCUGUAGGCUCUUUAAUUUGAAUUCUUGGUCACUGAAAAGUGGCCAUUCUUGAGAGGGAUUAGGAGAUGUGGCCUUGUUGGAGUGGGUAUGGCCUUCUUAGAGAAAGUGUCUUACUGGAGGUGGGCUUUGGGGUUCAGACGCCCAAAUUGGGCUCAGUGGCUCUCUUUUCUUGAUGAUUGCAGAUGUAGAAUUCUCAGUUCUCCAGCACCAUUCUCGGUGCAUGCCUCCAUGUUCCCUGCCAUGAUGAUAUGGACUAAAUCUCUGAAACUGUAAGCCAUCCCCAAUUAAAUGCUUUCCUUAGUAAGAAUUGCUGUGGUUUGUUGUGCCAGGAAUAAACCAUGAACCUCAAAAGAACACUAAGGAGCCAUCUCCAUUGUGAUAAUAUUAGGGUCACUUUACUACAAGCUCAGGCUUGGACUCUUCUCCAACCCAACCCUGACACAGCAGGAUGGGAAGGGAAGGUGGAGCAGCCCUGAGCCCUCAGCAGGACACGUUUUAAUAGGAAAAUAGGAGCAAGUGAGGGGGUGAAAAAGGGGGGUGUCCAGUCUGGCAAGCACAUAAUAGAAUGACUGUAAGCCAACAGGUGGGUGCUCUGAAGCAAGACCGUAGGCAAUCAUAAACGGUCUGAAAGUACAGGUGAAACAGAUUAAUCUUUAACUGUUGCUAGGAAGUAGCUAGGGAGUAACUCUGGCCAAGGACAAGCCAUGCAGUCCUUUCUGGUACAUGGGUGCAGCUUGAGUUCUAUUUCAGGUCAAAUUCUCAGGCUUUUUUUCCCCUUUAUUUUAUUUUUUUUUUUAAAUGGAUGCCAGUCCCAAGAUAGAUGAGGUUUGGAACCUCAUGCCAUGCUGUCUCAGCAAUAGAACAAUGAGAUUAUGCACAAGUCUGAUACAUUCACGUUUUUUUCCCCAUACCUACCAUGCCUAAAUACACACCUGCUCUUACUUUAUCAGCAUCCUUUAUCAUAGCUCAUCAAGUUGCCAGAUUAUACAAUAGCCAGGGUUGAAUUCAGGAACACAGAUGGAGGGAGCAGUGUGAAGGAAGGCUGCUUAGGUCUGAGCCCCUGGCUUUUCUAUUUAAACUGUCUUAUAAUCUCAGGAAAUAAAAAAUGUGGUUUUGGUUCCCAGGGUUGCUGUAAUAAUGAAACUGCAUAUUAAGUACAGAGUGGAUAUUAUUGUAGGAAAGUUCACAUUAGUCUCUUGACAAAAAUGCAACAAGCUUAGUAGUAGAGUGUGUGUAUAGCAUUCACGAUGCACUGGAUUCAAUCCCAUCACCACCCAAAGAAAGCCCAAACAAGGCUUCUGAAGACCCUUCAGUCAAAAAUGCUCUACUUUGUAGUAUUCUGGGAUGUGAAGGGAUGCUAAUGUAUAAGACACAUAGAAUUAUAUAUAUCCUUAGCUAUAACAAAGAAGACAUGAAAGAGACAAUUAUAAACAUAGUGUAUCAACACAGUAUUUAGUUUAAAUAAUUAUGAAAAUAUAAAGUAUUUAUACUAUUCCCAUUGAAGGAAGAAGACUUUAAAAACUGCUUGCUGUUACUUUAUUUCCUUAUGGUAACUAGAAGACUAGCACCAUUGUCUUAGAUUACAGGAAAAGGUGAAGGAAAUGCAACACAGAUGAAAUCUGAGAAGCUGGCUGUGUUCUGUGCUUUGGCAGCAGAAUUUGAUCUUCUGUUACUCUGGUGACAUGGAGUCUUGUGACAAAGACAGGAGCUUAGCAUAACUGUCCUCUGAGAGGCUCCACUUAGCAGCCAAUGGAAAGACAUGCAGAGACCCACAGCUAAUGUCAGAUAGAGCUCAGGGAGUCUUAUGGAAGAGUUGAGGGAAGAAUUGAUGGACUCGAGGAGAGGCACACCAUAGGAAAGCCAACAGCAUCAACUAACCUGGAACCUUGGGGGCUCUCAAAGACUAAACCAUCAAGCAAAGAGUGAGCAUGGGCUAGACUUAUUCCCCACCCCCACUUAUAUUUAGUGGAUGUGCAGCUUGGUCUUCAGACAGGUCUCCCAACAACUGGAGCUAGGACUGAGUCUGAAUCCAUUGCCUGCCUGUGGACCCUGUGUUCCUCUAGCUGGGCUGCCUUGUCUGGCCUCGGUGGGAAAGAAUGUGCCUAGUCCUGCAGUGACUUGAUGUGCCAGGGGUGGGGGAUUAGGGGGAGGUGGGCAUGUGGAGGGCCUGAUACCCAGAGUGGGGUUUCCCUUCUCAGAGAAGAAGGGGAAUAGGGUAUGGGGUAGAAUAUGCAGGAGGGGGUACUGGGAGGAGGGGGGGCUGAUAUUGGUAUGUAACAUGAAUAAAUAAAAAUGUUAAAAAGGUCAUAGUCCCAAACUAUUUAAGAUGAAUAAAUUUGGGCACUACAGAAUUUAAUCACAAUUUAUAUUUAUGCAAUCUUUACAUUGCUAAAAAGAUUUUUUUGGUAUUGCUGGAAGAGAUAGACUUGACACAGUGCCUACUGGGAAUUUACUAGUCUGGAGAGAUGAAAAGGCUGAGAUCAUUGUGUUAUGAUGAUAAUAUUAUCAAUGCUAGAAAAAGAACUGUGUGUUCUGGGAAAGGAACUGGGAUGGAUGUUGGUUUGAAAACAUUCAUGUCUGACCUUGAGCAGAGGGUAGCUUUUAUAUGUCAGAGUCUACAUGUAUUUUUACCCACAGUUAUGUUAACAGAGCCUCCACAAAGAGGAUGUUUGUGAAUAUUUAGAACUGUGUUUUAUCUCUUCCUUUAAAAACAGGAAGCAAUGAAGUUAAAAUAAGUUGCUGCCUACAUCUUACUUUAAGAACCAAAUUUGGCAACUGACUAGUUGUUGAAACUAUUUGUUGCCUAAAUACAAUAUUAUUAAAGUCUUGCGAGUUUCAGCAACAAACACAUCAUAUGGAAUCACAACAAUUUCGAUGAAUGAAUGGAGAGAUUUAUAACCUGAGUGCUGACCCCGGUAUAGGUCAGGCCACUUGAACACAGCUGUAUAGCAUUUAGGGUUUCAAUGUCCAACAACUAGAGAAGUUGGGAGAGUAUUAACAAGGGGCUACAGGCUGUGGAGGCCUUCUGAUUAAAGAAGGAAACCACUCUGCAGUUCUAGAGAGAAAACAAAUGUCCGAAGUGUGGUCAAGGGUAUGAGUAUUAUGUGCGUCUCCAUGGAUGAGCAUCUGUGUGUUCACGGGCAUUUAUCUCUUUUCUAUGUAUCACAUAUACUAGUGGGACACUGGGCUCAAAGUCUCAGGUGUUUCCAGUACCAGUCCGUGUUCCAACGUGAUUUUAUGUUUUACACUCCACACGGGGAGUAUUUUGUCAGUUCUCCAAUAUCAUUGCCAACAUUGCCUGAGGAAGAUUCCACUCUAAUGUGAAGUAAGCCUUAUGCUACACAACUUUUCUGUGUUCAGUCUCUAAUGACUGCCAACUGAAUUGCCACUUUGAAUCCCUUCUUUACAAAAGUUUUAACCAUUUCCUUUCAAGUCUUUAUCAUUUUGUUUUUGCUUUGAGACAGGAUCUCAUUAUGUAGCUCUGGCUGGCCUGAAACUCACUACGCUUCAAAGUUCUAACAUUUGAGUGCUGACUUCACAGGUAUAUGUCAUCAUGGGUACCUCUUUCUCUGUUUAAAAAGUGGAUCAUUUUGGGCUAGAAUGGCUCAGGGGUUAAGAGCACUUGUUCUUCCUGCAGAAAACCUGAGUUCAGUUCCUAGUACUCACAUGGCGUGGCUCACAUUUUGCAUGGUGUAACUCCAGUUACAGGGGACCUGGUACUUUCUUCUGCUCCCUGAAUGCCACACCGACCCCAGUAGAAUUUAUGUGACAAGUUCCACAGACUGAGGCAUUAUACUUCAAAAGAAGGAGGUCUCCUGGAACUGAUUGUAGAACUCUUAGCUGGAGAAAACAAUUGAGCGGUAGUUCUCAUGGCAAUUUUUCUGUUUUGUUUUCUUUCAUUCCUUUCCUUACUUACAGGUUCCUGGUAGCCUAGACAAUGAUCUUAAGCAAGAAUAAUGGGUGCAAAACCACCCCUUGAGACAGGUCACUAACAUGACCUUAUCUCCAGGGAAACCAAGGCUUUACUUUUCAAAUCAUUUACAAAAUUAUUAUGAUAAAAACUUUCCCAACAAUAAAAUUUCCUAUGGCUACACAUGUGUCAUUGGAAGUGGGGUUUGGUAUAUGGUAAAGAAAGCCUUAAUUAGAAAGAAGUAAAAUAGUUUAAAUUUAUGCUUUGAAGAUUUAUUAAAAAAUCAGGCAUUAGAUGUUAAGGAAUAAUUAAUCAUAGGGGCUGGAAAGUUAGUCCAGCAUUUAAGAGCAAUGACCAUAAAGAUUUACUAAUCUUUAUGUUCCUGGGAAUAUGCCACUAGCCUUGAAUGAUCGCCCUAUUGAAUAUAUUCUUUUACAACUGUUAUAUUUCUGAUGAUAAUGUUACCUGUUCUGUUUGUGAUUCACUGAACAUGUAGUUCAGGGUUGUAAUGCUUAGAUGAUUUUUUUUUUACUGUGCCAAGUGAUUCUUUUUGGUAUUUGUGAUUGUUUCACUGGAUAUGGUUUCUAAGAGAUGUGUCAUGUUUGGUUUAAUGUAUAAAAUCUCCUACUUGAGAGCUGCAAAAUACACUCAGAUUCAAACUCCCUCUGUGUUUGUUUCUGUUUGUCACCGCUGAAUCCUUACCCACCUGGACUUUAAGAACCUUCAACUCAGGGACCCCCAUGACCGGCUGGGGUGGUCUGUGGACACACCUGUAUACACAUUAUCUUUUAAAUUUCCAAUUGUUCUCAACAUUUAUAUGCCCAACACAUAAAAUUCUUAACAGAUACAGUUUUCAACUAUCUUCUCCCAUGUGGUGACUUAACUUUACACAUAUUUUCUUCCACUUGGUGACUAACCUUUACACGUAUUUUUUCCACUUGGUGACUGACCUUUACACAUAGUGUCAACCAUGUGGUGGCUGACAUUUGCACUUUCUUGAUGGCGCCUUUACAGAUGCAGUAGUUUAACCUGCGGGGUAUUUACAUUUUCUCUUAGUAUCAUAUCUAAGACUGUUUCCUUCUAAAAGCACUAAAGUUUAAACAUCCUACAUGUAAGCACUAGAAUUUGAGAUAAG